rnacentral:piRNA from 1 species
GAGAUCCUGAAUGAACUUCAAGGGAA